GCAUUUCAAAGCUAAUUAUUAUUGUAUGAUUCCCAGUGUCUUCAGUCUGAAAGUGAAGAUAUUCUUUGGAGUUCUGAAGAAACAAUUUCUGUGUAUUCUUACUAUUCUUUUAUGCUUCUCCCACCUAUAUAAAACAGUGGUUUCCAGCCCAGGCACUGCAAACUGCAUUCUUGCUUCCCUAAUGAGGAAAGGUGCAGUACGUCCCCAGAAGAUUUACAGGUUAUGUGAAGAGCAGCUCCUCAGGGCAUGUGCAAUGUGCAAUAAAACAAGCACGAGAAAAGAGCAAGCCUCUGUUGUCAGGCAACCUUAUCCAGGUUUUGAACCUCUUUGCAGCAAGUCCUUGAAUAUAGGAAGACUGGAAAGGCAGCUGAAUGACCCCUCACUGACCUUCAUCUUUAUGGGGAGCUUUCAGUUCAGCAGCUGGUUAUAAUUCCUUUCAUAAGGUGUGGCCAGCUCUAAGUCAUUCUUUGCGAUCACUUCUGAAACACUAAGAAGACCUCCAAACCAUGCUAAUAGUAGCAAGGUACACAGAUACUUGGAAUCACUAGGUCAUGCCUGGGACACAGGCAAGACGUGCUGUCCCUGUCACAUGUACCAUUUUCUGUCUCUUCUUUAAAAACAAAAAGAUAAACUCAAAAUAAGCAAAACAAAAACCAACUACUAUUCAUCUUUCAUUGCUUAAUUCCCUUCUGCAUUAAAUAGAGCCAAUUUAAUACCAUAGCAGUGAGGGGAGUUGUGUAUCCCCAAGCAGAAGUAAUUGGUAGGGUGAGGAUCUCUAUGCCAGUGUUAUUUAGUUUGUUGUUUUCAGGUGGUUGUCAAUCGUUCUUUGAUCACUGCAUUUCUAAAACAAAAAUGUUCUGGCUGCAUUGAAUGCAGUAUUUGAAAUUUGCUUUAUUUUCUUUUUAUUCUUUUACCUUUUAUCCUUUAAAUGUACAUCGGUUGAAUGCACCUCUGAAAAAAUACCUUAAUUGUUCAGUAGUUAAUUUCUUCUCUUAGAAAUGAAGCUUUCUGUGUUUAUUUCCAUUACAAUAUAAUGGAGGAGGAUGCAAAAAAUAAAAAAUAAAAAUAAAAAAAUCAAAAAUCAGCAGAACUGCAUAGGAAUAGAGAAUGCUUUUCUUUCAGGAUGGAGCAGUUAACUGCACUAUAUUUUAUUCUGCACUCUAAAAUUAUGAACACUUUCAUAAUCAAACCCAUGGAUCAUAACAAACUGUUAUACGAUAAAAUAUCAUGAGAUUUUUCUUUCAAGAGAUAGUAGUUUUGUGGAAUUAAAAUGGACCACUGUGGAGGCUCCUGUUGGAAAGAUGCAAAAGAGGACAUAUUCUGUAACGCUUUCUAAACAAGUGCAGAUUUUGUUAGUAAUGCAUCAGACAUGAGUUUUGAUGUUCUAUUCUUCAGUGUUCUAGCACUGAUUACAUGUGUAUUUGAAAGUGACCUACAGAUUUACUGUAGUUUUGAAGAACUGUGAAAUUAAAGGAUCCCUGGGGGAUAUUAAGUGCAGUUGCUGGAUUUUGUGUGUUCUCACAGUUGUGAUGUAGAGUUGAUGCCGAGCUUGCUCACAUAAGGCUGCUGUUGAGGGUUAGUACUAUUACACUCUGGUGUUUUGAUUUGCUUUGGGUUUUGUUCAUCUCAAAUAUGUAAAGGCUUGGGUUAAAGCAGCUUUGCAAACCAUGGCAAUUCACGUGUAACCCCGUGAACAGUUGACAGGAGUAUUGCAAACUGGGGAGAAGCAAUAAUUACAAAUUGUGAUGUUUGUAAGAGCUAUGCUAAAGAGAAAGAAGUGAUUCUGAAAAGAAACAGUAAAUGCUGACUCCUAUUUUCUUUGCUUUAUGAGUAGGAUGUCUGUCUUAGUUUGGUGGAAGCCAUAAUGAGAAACAGCUGAAAUAGCUGCUAGGAAAAAGACUGGUUUGCUUUUAAAUACAGUAUAGUCACUGACUUCAGUUUCCUUGCUAAGGUUUGUAAGAUUCAUCAAAUCUACUUGUUCUUUUGAGCAAGGACAGAAUACUGAAAUCCAAGGAAAUGCUUAGUUUGAACUAUUUUUGGAAAAAAAAAAAAAAAAGCAUUUAAACAAGCAUUAAGAAGUUACAGUAAAAACAUAGGAACAGAAAAUUUGCAGAUUUGGUAUGAAACAUCUUUGAGCAAGUGAGUAGCAUCUAUUCAAUAUUAAUUUUCUUUUUACACUUUCAAAAGAAGUUUUUUGCAAACAUUUAUUUUUGGAUCUUUGAAAAUGAAUUUGGUAUCUCUUCUUACUGGUGCUUGCAGGUGACAUUUCUUUUUUUUUUUUUUUUUCCCCCCCUGGAUUUUGCUUCAGCUUUAUUGAAUUGCUGUCCUGACAUUUGGCUGCUUGCUGCUCUGAAACCAGCAGAGGGUGCACAGAAUGUAUUCAGCUGUAGCUGUUUCUUCACAGUCCCUUGUGUUACUGCUACAUAGGAACCAGACAACUGCCCUCCUAGGCCCUAUUCAGGUAUCACCUGAACAUGAUUCUCAAAAUAGCUCACAGCUGUGCUUCAGUGCAUGGUUUUCAGUCCACCUAGGGGAAUUUCCUGACACUGUUGUCUGUCGGAUUCAGGACAGCGUGUCAGAUCCUAUGUGCUUGUUCUUUACAAGUCUGCUAAAAUGAACAGGCAUUACACAUUCAUAAUUUCAUGGAUCAGAACCUACUUUAAAAGAUGCUUUUUAUCACUGUGAUAUUUUAGGAGAAAGGUUUGUGGAAGUGGCUGUUGAGCUAUUUCUCUGCUUUUUUAACUGGCUGUAAUUGACCUGGCAGGGCUUUGCUGGGAGCUGCCACCUCUCUCCCCACUCUGACCAGUGAGCAGUGCCUACCAGCUCCCAGCUCUUACCUGUCACAUUGCAAAGUAGUUCAAGGACAAAGACAAGAUACAUUAUCAUUUACGAGAUACGUUAAUUCAAUAUAGUUGCAUACUACUGCUUUGAGAGAGUUUCCAUACCACAGAACAGUAUUUUUAUCCUCUUUCUUUUUCUGGAUUUAGGUUUACCUCUAUGUCUAGAUAUCAGUGUUUCUAAUGCUUGACUGUUAGAACAGUCGCAUAUGAAUUAGCCUACUAUAAAACACUGAAAAACUAUUUAGCUUUAUUUCACGUUAAUGUAUUUCUACUUUGUAAUUUCUUCUAUUGGUCAUUUUUUUUUCCAAAGCAUCUUAUUUUUCCAGCAUCUUGUUGGAAUCAAGUUCAUUGUAUCAACCAAAACUUGUUUUCUUCUUAUUUCUAACAGGCCAAGCUCCAUUCUAGAUGUAUUAAAAAUUAAUUAAGUUUCUUACUUAGGAUCUCAAAACUUUAAAAAAAAAGAAAAAAAAAGUCUUUCAUCAUACCUGUAGUGGAAAUGCUAAUUCAGGGCUUGAAGCAGUGAUUGAGCACCUGAUGGGAAGGCAGGGCCAACCCAGGGGAACUCAGGUGUAUGCAGUGCACCUGAAUAACUGGAAGGGGUGGAGCCAGGAUCCACCCCUUCCCAGACCUCAUUUAAGGGCUGGCAGUGGAGGUGGGGGUUUCUUGUUGGAGAUCCCUGUGUAUGUGAGGCCUUCUAAGGAAAGGAGUGUAUUUCACCUUGACUGUUUUGUGGGUGUUGUUGAUUGGUUUGCAUUGUACUCUUGAAGGUAAGUGUCAUAAUUAGAGUAGAACCCUUCUUUGCUUUCUUUUUCCCAGUAAUAUAUCAAACAUACUGAUCUCCCAAAGCUGUUCAUCUGUUCUGUUAAGCUGCAUGCCAUCCUGUGACUCUUCAAAACCACCAAGAUAGUGCUUCUGUUUUUACUGAAGUCAUUUUUGCAACUGUUUGCAAAGAGCACUGGUACAGAACUCCUAGUAAUUAUUAUAUUUCUUUUCUUUUUAAACUGGUUUCUAUUGCAACAUGCAUUUACCUAUUCUGAAUUGCCAAAUAUUAGAGGGGUCAACAUCCUGAAUUGUGAAGCAUGCUCGUAAGGCUUCAGAAAUGACAAUAAGGGUUAUAAGUAUAUGUGGAAUGAUCAUGUCAGGAAGGUGUUUGAUGUUGUUUGGUUGUUUGGUUUUUAUUUCAAGGAUUUUAGUUGAUUUAUUAACACUUUCUCAAAUGAAGUACUGCAACUUAUGUCUCAGAAAUUAGUCUUAAUUUGCCAAGUAACAAAGUAACCUCUUCAGUGGUAAUUUGCCAUUCGAGGUGUAAUAGAUUAGAUGUUUUAAAUAAUGAUAACUGAUUAAAUGUUUAAAUUAUUAUAGGAAUAAAGAGUCAACAAUAGGAUGCAAGAUUUUCAAAAUAUUUCUUAAAAGUAAACAGUAAAAUAAGCCCAACAACAGUAGGAGUAAUUAACUGGAUCAUGGUUUGUGACAACUCUGUUCAUGUGUUGGUUCAGCACUGCUGUCAUUUUACAGGCUGAAAUGCAUGAAGCCAAUUUACCAGAUAAACUCACGUUAAUGAUUUUCUUCAUUUUCAACCCUCUCAGCUCUAGAGUUUUUUGUGUGUCAGGGCACUGCCCUGUAGAGAGGCUAAAGACCUGGCUGGAAUAUGAUGCUGAUUCUUUGAAUAAGACAAGAAAUGCUUUACAGGACAAGUGGAAGAGCUAUGACAAAGUGUUUGGUGUUGAUGGGGAGAAACCUUUUUAAAAAAGCAAAAGUAAUUGUUAUGGCCAGUCAACUCUCCUUGUGUUUCUUAAUAGUUAUGACAUUACAACACUGUUGCACUCUCUUUCCCGAACUCUGACCUGAGCUUCAUGGAACAUGCAAUAAGGAAAGCUGUGAAGAACUAAUAAAAUACAUGUGCUGAUUGCACUUUCCACCCCUGUUGUAUAAGACAUUUAAUGUGUUCUAAGUAGACAUUUCUUCUUUCCUGCUCAUGUUCUCCUUCUGGCUAUUAAGUAUAUGAUGUAUUGUAUACAACUGAGCAUUGCAUUUAUAGUAGCAUUAAUGCAGUCAGUGCUGUCUUACAGCAGGUCACAUUACAUUUUCUAUCUGAAUGUAGAUUAACUCAAAAGGUGUUAGCAAUCUGGAACAAUCACCAGAUCUUUAUUUUCACAUAAAGAAAUUCCUGUGGCUAAAGCAGUCAAAUAAACCAUUUUCCUCAAAGUUAAAGAAAGUCAAAUGUCUUUUUUCUUACUGUCCUUUUCCUUGUGAACAUCCACAUUAUGUGGAUACAUGAGCAGUAUGUAAGCAAACUUCCUCUCAGAGCCUCUCUUCUCAUAGAAGUCACCAACUUCUAGAGUACAAAUUCUACAGUGUCUUUCAGGGGCUUCAGGAUUUUGUUUAAAAAAAAAAAUCAUUACAUUCUAUUCAACUUUUUGUUUUUCCUCCUCACUGCUGGCUAGAUUUUGAGAAGCCUUCAAUCCCCAGAUAAUUGCAUCAGCUUUGAGUCUUUUCUGAAAGAUCCUUGGGGAUAUUUUCUGAGUCUCCUCUUUUAUCUUCUUACUGUCAGGCCUGUUUUAUGGCCUCUAGUUUGCUGAUGGACUCUUUAGGAAGUCACUGAUAUUUGUUCCUUACUAUUAAAUCAGUAGAUGAAGAAAUGUGAGCAAAGCUUUUGGUUACCUCUGCGCUAUCCUCCUUUCCUUGGCACUGCAGAGGAGGCCAUCUUCUUGGCAAGCGUCAUUAUCUGCUACCUCCCACCUAUGAAAAUGCCAGUCCCAAAGCCAGGCAGAAUAUUGUCCAUUGACAUGUUAUUACUUUUUUUUUUUUUUUUUUUAAAAAAGGCCCAGCUGGUUUAGUAGGUGAUCUGUCAGACCGUUGUGAUCACUCUCAGGGGUGUUGACACCAUGUGUGAAAUACAGAGAAAUGGUGGAGACUGGAGUUUACAUUUAACUUUGUCAAUUGAAUUAGAUGAUCUUAGAGGUUCUAUGAUUCAAAACAAAAUAGAUUUCAUUGCCAAGUCUGAUGUAUCUUUUGCAUGUGCCAUAUCUUACAUUAUGCAAAAGGAAUAAUUUCUUUUUCUCUGCUGUUACAGCUUUGUGUAGAGCCCAUUAAAAUCAGUAGAAGUAUUUCCUUCAGUAUCUCGCUAAGUGUGUCUUCAAUCUUUAUGUAAUGCACAAACAACUUCAUAAUGCUACUUACUUUUGUUGCUACUGUACAGAGAUUACUUGACAGUAAGAGCAAAGAUAGAGCAGUAGCACUAAUUCCAUUGCUGAUACCCUGCUGUUGUAGUGUUCAGCCAGCAGGAUGUGCAGAGCAAGAGACCAAUGGUUGUGUCAGGCUGCUGGGCUUCUCCAGCCUCUGAUGUCUUCAUGCAGCAGCAGGGCUGUUAAACAGUCUGGAAUGCAUGGGAUUACUGGGGAAUGGUGAAGUAUAAAGGGAAUUUAGGAAUUGAAUGGGGCCAGGACCUUUCAGAUUUACAUUCGGUUCGGUGCUAGCAAGAUGUACAUACCAGACUUAAAUGCACUCUGUGUUUAAAAGGGAUUAAAUGGUUAAGUUCAAAAUUCCUUAUACUCUGAGCAUGGUUUAGGUGGUUUAUAGCUAACAGUGUGCAAAAUAGACUUCCUAGGUUUACUUACAAAAUAGAUUUAUGUGUUCAUUUAUAUUCUUAAAUAUUAAGAACAGGCAAAGAAUUAACAGUUCUCUACAAACUGCUGUAACACAUUUUUCACCUUAUAUGGAGAAAUGCCUGCUAUUUAUCAAGCAGCAUUAGGAUUUGCUGUUAUUGUCACAUUCCUUAACAUUGGAAGACAUCACAUUUCUCUGACUAACAAGUCAAGUCAUAAGCUUAUAUUUUUGCAGUUUGAAUGCUGGGUCUUAAUCCAGGAGUUGCUGGAACGGGCGGUGCUUCUUCUGAAAAACAGCAGCAUGUACAUUUCAAUUCCAUGUCACUGAGUUAGUUGCUCAGCUCUGUCAGAGAAAACGAGACAGUGAAAUUGUGUUUCUGUCUUGAGUCAUGUCAAGUCCCUCCUCACUGGCUCUUCAGCUUCCGAAGAAUACAGUAUGAGGGAAGGUUGAGGAGAGUGAAGGGAAAGACUCACAAACAGAGCUCAUGCGGCUUUUAAGGGGGCAAACCUCAGCACUUUGAUUUACAUCAAAGAUGUACUACAAUGUAGUACAUUCCUUCGAAUCAUAGAGUCAUAGGAUGGUUUGUUUUGGAAGCUGCCACUUCAUUGACUCGUUGAGACACUCGGCAACAACUGUUGGCUGUGAAGUCGUUAGCUGUGCUGUAGGAAUAAAUACGUCACAAAUUCAUCAUUCAAGUGUGACAUUAAACAAGUGGAAAAUACAGAAAUACGGAGAAACGAUUUGUAUAGUCACUGAUAUCUCAGAUUAGAGAAGCAGUACAAAAGAAUGAAAAAUAAGGCACUUAUAAAAUUUCAUUUUAUAGUUGUUUAAAAGUACGGAGUAGAAGCACUGAUGAAGUCUACGUUCACUGAAUUUGGGUGGUGAAAGAUCAGUAUCUGGUCUGAUUUACUGAAGUCAUUUAAUUUAAAAAGAGAAGCACUGUUUGAAAUAUUUCGAGCAUUGUGGCAUUCAGUAGGGUAGUAAGCAUUGCCUACUACCGCUUAUUGUUUUUGCAUUAUGUAGACCAUUAUAAAUUUUUAGAAUGUUCUCCACAACUCUUGUGAGAUGAGCUUACCUUCUAACUGUAGAGACUUUUCUGUGGUAGUAUCUGGGAUAUAAAAUACUAUUAAAUGGUAGGGAUUUGAUGCAAUGCAAUGCAAUGAUUAGAGAACCUGGCCCAUAAUUGUUGUUGCUGUAUUCACUUCGAGGUAGAUCCAGAAGAGUUAACUGGAAAAUGAUACUUGGGUUUUUCUUGCUCCAUAAAGGCAACGUUGGCUGUGUUUUCUUGAAUAAUAAGAUGGAAGGGAAGAAUUCAUGAGCCUAGGAACAUUUGGAGCCAAGAGAAACAAAAGGAUAGUUUAUAUGGCUAAAUACUUUUGAAAAACCAACAUUUGAAACAUUUAGCCAAGUGGUUGCGUGGAAGUACCUAUACAAUUUUGUGCAGCGUAGUGCAAAAAACACACAUUUUUAUUUUCUGCGUGCUUAUGAUUUUCCUGUUCUCUUUCUUCACCCGAGGUUAAACAGAUUUAUUAUCAUGUAUGGAUAUAAAAGAACUUAAACUACAAACAUUUAUUUUUAGGUCUCCACCCUUGGGCUUUGGAUUUUGUGAGCAGCUAUUUCAGUGAAUUUACAUCUAUAUAGGGAAACUUGCAAAUUGAAUACUGUGCAAAUCCAUGUUUAAAAAAAAGCAAAUGCUAUUCUAGAAGGUAAAAGAUAUAAUAAGAAAGCCAAGUAAAAAAGAUUGCUUUUUUGUUUGCUACUAAGGGAGUGAUCAGUGUUUCCUGCUGGUUUUUGCACCCUGCAAUUGGAGAUUCUGGCAUGCAAAUGGUCUAAAUAAUACUAGGUUUUGUGACUGGUUGGCACUACAUAAUACUGGGGAUGGGGUGACUUAAAUAUACAGCCCUUUCUCAGGCAGAACACCCACUGAAAUCACAUGUAAGUGUCGUCAGUGGAAGCUUUGCCAAAAAAAUCACUAUGGAUUUGACCCCAAAGUUAUUACUACCAAAUUUCUUAUGUAAGUCUUUCAUUAUUGUGUUUUUCAAGAAUGGAGUACUUGAUUGAAUCCUGGAAUUCAUUAUAACUUUCAGUUUUACCAGGGUAUCAGCCCUUAAAUCUACAUUUCCAUUGGAAAAAAAGAAUAAUAUUCUUUGUUGUUGCUCAAAAAGAAGUAGUAAGCAUACUCUGUGGCUUAGGUAAGCAAUUACCUGAGGUGCCUAAAAGAGGAGCUUGGGCUUCCAGUCUCUCUAUGAAAGUAGAGGAGAGAAUUAUCUCCAGAAGAGUCUUUACCUGGUUACAGUCUAUGUUGUCUUUUGGAUAAGAGUCCAGUCCUACCACUACCCUACUAGCAUCAGAGAUAGUGUGCAUACUGGUUUAGGAAUCAGGUCAGAUGGGUUGGCUGGUGCAAGACCUACUGUGAUUUGUAGAGGUAAUAUGUAACUUGGUUCAGAAUUCCUUUUUAGAAGUUAGUAGGUUAUCAGUGGUUGUUUUUUUUUGUUGUUGUUGUUGUUGUUUUUUAAACCGUGGAUAACAAAGGCUGUGAUAGAGCUGCAUCAUUUAGCAUAGAAAAUCCUGUGUUACUGUAGGACACAAAGUUUCUUAUUUUGUAUGGCUCCUGCCUUCCCCUGUGUA
ensembl:lncRNA